rnacentral:rRNA from 1 species
CCUACGGGAGGCAGCAGUGGUGGAUAUUGCACAAUGGGGGGAACCCUGAUGCAGCGACGCCGCGUGGGUGAAGAAGCGCCUCGGCGCGUAAAGCCCUGUCAGCAGGGAAGAAAAUGACGGUACCUGAAGUAGAAGCCCCGGCUAACUACGUGCCAGCAGCCGCGGUAAUACGUAGGGGGCAAGCGUUAUCCGGAUUUACUGGGUGUAAGGGGGGCGCAGGCGGCGAUGCCAGCCAGGAGUGAAAGUCCGGGGCCCAACCCCGGGACUGCUGUUGGAACUGGGUGGCUGGAGUGCAGGAGGGGCAGGCGGAAUUCGUGGUGUAGCGGUGAAAUGCGUAGAUAUCAGGAGGAACACCGGUGGCGAAGGCGGCAUGCUGGACUGCAACUGACGUUGAGGCCCGAAGGCGUGGGGAGCGAACAGGAUUAGAUACCCUUGUAGUC